CUCUCCUCCCCCCUCCUCUACUCGUCAAAUGUGGGCGUCCUCCGUGCUCCGGUUCUCCGCUCCUCCCCUUAUCGGUACCCCGCGUUCUCGUUUCCUUGUCCCAUCUCUGGCGCUCUCCCUCGUUCGUUCCCCGUCUGCGCCCUCAAAGGUAACGAGGAUCAGUGUAAGAUGUAGUUAUGUUGCAUCAAAUAUCAUGGAAGAUUCCUCUUCUGUUCCUAUAGAUGUAGCGGCUGAUGUAAAAACUGAAAAGAUGGCAGUCUGAGGAGGCAGUGGUUUUGUUGGUUCAGCUAUUUGCAAAGUUGCAAUCUCCAAGGGCAUUGAGGUUGUCAGCCUAAGCAGGUCACAGGUUAGGGAGGUCUUCUUACUCAGAUUCUUGGGUUGACCAGGUCACAUGGAUGGCAGAGAAUAUGUGGGCCCUUACGUUCUCUCUUUGCUAUCAGAGUGAGAGGAUUUCUCACGAUAAUGGAUUCAGAAGUGGAGGAUCUAAUGAUGGCAAUGAAUGCAAAAUUUAGAGCAUUGGCGGAAUAUUUUACGGGUGAUGUUAAUAUUAGAGAGUCAACUUUCUUCUAAAGAAUUGAUUCCUUCUUCUCCACUUCCCCUUUCUAUAGCUGAAUGCCAUGAGACGUUGCAUAUUGGUUUUUCAACAAAUUCCUCUAAACCAAAGUCUCCCAUAUUUCUACUCAUCUUGGGGUACUUCACUGGCAAGAGAAAAGCUGAAUCAGAGGUCUCCGUUAAAUAUGCAAACUCAGGUGAAUCAUUACAGAGGCUACUGCUUGCUGCUGAAAAUUUUAUAAAGCCCCUGAACUUGCCGCCUGCUUCUGAUCUCCUCUUGGCAGCACCUUUGAGUGUUGAUGAUAUUGCACAUGCUGUGAUCAAUGCAGUCACGGAUAAUCACUUCUUUGGCAUUUUCACAAUCAAGCGGUCCAAGUAAUCUGCAGCAAAAGUGCAGAUUUGAAUUUGGUGCACUCACCCAUAGUGAUUGUUCACAUCAAAAUUUUCAUGCAAUGGAACUUUGGUAAUGCAUCAGCCAAAAGCUCAGCUUGCCUCCAAACUACCAAUUUGAGAUCUUAGGUGUGAGAUCAAUCUAUACUGUCAUGAUGAGAUUUCAAAUAUUCCAAUCCUCCAUGUAACCAUGUUGUGUGGACUGCAUUCUUCUGAGCGAAAAGAGAAGAAACAUUGUUGUGAGCAUAUUACACCCUUUUCCUGCACGGCCUAGCUCUAACCUACCUCCCCAUCAGCACUUCUCAUAUGAUAUGUUGGUGAGCUUUCCUUUGUCAAUUUCCUGUAUGGUAUUAUAUUGCUGGAUUUCCCUUUUCUGGGAAAAAAUAGUGUGUGAAUGCUGCCUUCUGGUAUUGAGCCAGGAAACUUACCUCCCUAGCAUUUUCUGGGGAGAGUGCCAACUAGCGGACCCCAUUCUCAUUGGUAUACACUCUUGGAUUUUGAUAACACACAAGGAAAUAUAUUUGUACCUUGACCAGUGACAUAGUGAGAGUUCAGAUUGUGGUGUAUCAUAGCAUGAAAUAAAAACAAUGUAAU